GAACGAGUAGCACAGUGGUAGUGCAUCUGAUUCCAGAAAAUGCGAUGGUUUAUCCAGAAGGUCGUCCGUUCGAUCCGGGCCUCGUUCA